AAAUGAAUUAGCUCACGUUGUCGUUUUAGUGGAACGUUUCUCAUUCCACGUUUCGUUUCUUGUCGGAUUGCUACCGAAUUUACCAUCCACGGUGUCGUUUCGGUACCUGAGCAACUGAAUUUGAUUGGGAAAAGCGGGAGCGGAACUGAGAGAUGGAGGGAGAGCCGUGCGACGUCGUGCCCUGCUCCUCCGUCACCGUCGAUUCGAUCCUCCGCAUCGGAACGGCCGGUGCAAUUUGGGGCUUGUGUGCCGGUCCCCACGAUGCUCGUAAACAAGGCUUGGCCGGAGCAGCUCAGGUGGCUUUUGUGGCGAGGUCGGCUGGAACGUUUGGAGUUCAGUAUGGACUUGUUGUUGGAAUUUGUACUCUUACUCACUGCGGGCUUCAACGAUAUCGGGGAAAGAGCGAUUGGGUGAAUGGUGUGGUUGCUGGUGCAGUAGCAGGGGGAGCUAUUGCCGCUAUGACACGAAGCUGGACGCAGGUGAUUCCUAUGGCUUGUCUGGUUUCUGCCUUCAAAGUUGCCACUGACUACGCUAGAGCAGUUUGAAACUUUGAAAUGCCUCUUGGUGGAAAACUGUGUGGGAGAGGGAGCGCAGAGCAAGAUGUUCCUUUUAAUAUACACCUAACUGAGAAUGAAAGCCUUUCAACUGAUACACCCCUUCAGUCUUUGAAUUCUGGGUGAAACCAAACCAGGUGAGCAUUAUACAAUACGCUGAUACCCUGCUUCUCAGAACCAAAAAACUAAAAAGAACCAAAACACACACAGAAUCAGCAAAUCUCUGUUUAUGAUUAGUCAACUUAGGCUUUACUGCAAUACUAUAGAGCUUUUAUCUUUGUUUUUCUUUUAGUCUAUUUGUGAUUGCAUAAAAGUCGGAGUUUCUACUCUGCGUAGGUUCGUACUGUCUCAAAACCAAGUAUAUAACAUAACUAUUUACAGUUGAACAUUGCGUUUUUCUUGCAUCGUUGAUUUUGUUUAAGUUGA